ACGCUCGACAGUGUCAGCAGCCGCGGUAAUACGGAGGAUCCAAGCGUUAUCCGGAAUCAUUGGGUUUAAAGGGUCCGUAGGCGGCCCAGUAAGUCAGUGGUGAAAUCUCCCGGCUCAACCGGGAAAUUGCCAUUGAUACUGCUGGGCUUGAAUUACUAGGAAGUAACUAGAAUAUGUAGUGUAGCGGUGAAAUGCUUAGAUAUUACAUGGAAUACCGAUUGCGAAGGCAGGUUACUACUAGUGGAUUGACGCUGAUGGACGAAAGCGUGGGUAGCGAACAGGAUUAGAUACCCUGGUAGUCCACGCCGUAAACGAUGGAUACUAGCUGUUGGGCGCAAGCUCAGUGGCUAAGCGAAAGUGAUAAGUAUCCCACCUGGGGAUACGAACGCAAGUUUGAAACUUAAAGGAAUUGGCGGG
rnacentral:rRNA from 1 species